rnacentral:tRNA from 1 species
GUCUGGUUGGCUCAGUCGGUUGAGCGCCUGACUUCGGCUCAGGUCAUGAUCUCAUGGUCUGUGAGUUCGAGCCCUGCGUCAGGCU